rnacentral:rRNA from 1 species
UACGUAGGGUGCGGGCGUAAUCGGAAUUACUGGGCGUAAAGCGUGCGCAGGCGGCCUCUUAAGUCAGAUGUGAAAUCCCCGGGCUUAACCUGGGAACUGCGUUUGAAACUGGGAGGCUAGAGUGUGGAAGAGGGGGGUGGAAUUCCAGGUGUAGCAGUGAAAUGCGUAGAUAUCUGGAGGAACACCGGUGGCGAAGGCGGCGUUCUGGACUGCAACUGACACUGAGGAACGAAAGCCAGGGGAGCAAACGGG